AAAAAAUUCUUCAUGUCGUUACAUUAGUAAAGUAGGUUGUAAUACUAAAAAAGAAAAAGAAAUGUUUUUCAAUCAUAAGGAGAAAAUUUACAACUCAACUUAAAUUGUUUUUUGUGUUAUUGAUGUUACAUAAGGUUAAAGCGUUAAAUGAUAGGUUCACAAUUUGAUGGACGUAUCUACUUCUGAAAAGGGAUUCAUAGGGUACUGGAGCCUCUUAAAACGCUACAAGUGGGUUAUAAUCUUUCCAACACUCACCUCUUUCUUGAUUUAUAAGGAUUAUACACGCACUUUGAAAUAUAAAGCUGAAAAGGCUAAACUGAAGUCUUGGAUUACAUAAAUUUUGAAG